rnacentral:rRNA from 1 species
CCUACGGGAGGCAGCAGUGGGGAAUAUUGCACAAUGGGGGAAACCCUGAUGCAGCGACGCCGCGUGAGUGAAGAAGUAUUUCGGUACGUAAAGCUAUAUCAGCAGGGAAGAAAAUGACGGUACCUGACUAAGAAGCCCAGGCUAACUACGGGCCAGCAGCCGCGGUAAUACGUAGGGGGCAAGCGUUAUCCGGAUUUACUGGGUGUAAAGGGAGCGUAGGCGGCAGCGCAAGUCUGGAGUGAAAUCCCAUGGCUUAACCAUGGAACUGCUUUGGAAACUGUGCAGCUAGAGUGCAGGAGAGGUAAGCGGAAUUCCUAGUGUAGCGGUGAAAUGCGUAGAUAUUAGGAGGAACCCCAGUGGCGAAGGCGGCUUACUGGACUGUAACUGACGUUGAGGCUCGAAAGCGUGGGGAGCAAACAGGAUUAGAUACCCGAGUAGUC